rnacentral:rRNA from 1 species
CAUCUAGCAUGUGCGCAAGUCAUUGGGUAUUUAUAAUAAACCUAAAGGCGUAAUGAAAGUGAAUUUGUAUAUAUGUAUAAUUUUUAUUAAUUAUAUAUAUUUUUAUAAAGGGAAGAUGGGUUACGUUAUAUAUGUAACCUCGCAUUCCCGGGGCGUUGCAUACUUAUUGCAAGUUGUGGCGCACCAAGAGCGUACACGCUGGGACCCGAAAGAUGGUGAACUAUGCCUGGUCAGGAUGAAGUCAGGGGAAACCCUGAUGGAGGUCCGUAGCGAUUCUGACGUGCAAAUCGAUCGUAUGAACUGGGUAUAGGGGCGAAAGACUAAUCGAACCAUC